rnacentral:rRNA from 1 species
AACGAACGCUGGCGGCAGGCCUAACACAUGCAAGUCGAGCGGACCCUCCGGGGUUAGCGGCGGUCGUGUGAGUAACGCGUGGGAAUAUGCCCUUCUCUACGGUAUACUCCUGGGAAACUGGGGUUAAUACCGUAUACGCUCUUUGGGGAUAAGAUCUACUGGGGAAGGUUUGGCCUGCGUUGGAUUCGGCGGUUGGUGGGGUACUGGCCUGCCAAGCCGUCGUUCCAUGGCUGAUUUGUGAAGAUGACCAGCCACAAUGGCCCUGAGACACGGCCUAGACUCCUACGGAAGGGAGCAGUGGGGAAUCUUAGACAAGGAAGGCAGCCCUAGUCAAGCCAUGCGGGGUAAGUGAUGAAGGCGUUAGGGUUGUGAAGCUGUUUCAGCUGGGGAGAUAGUGACGGUACCGGCAGAAGAAGCCCCGGCUAACUCCGUG